CACGGGGGGAGCAAGCGUUGUUCGGAAUCACGGGGCGUAAAGGGCGUGUAGGCGGUCAGGUUAGCGAGAUGUGAAAUGCCCCGGCUCACCCGGGGACCUGCAUCUCAAACUGCCUGGCUUGAGUAUGGGAGAGGAUGAGGGAAUUCCUGGUGUAGCGGUGAAAUGCGUAGAUAUCUGGAGGAACACCGGUGGCGAAGGCGGCAUCCUGGACCAACACUGACGCUGAGUGAGCGAAAGCCAGGGGAGCAAACGGG
rnacentral:rRNA from 1 species